AGAAAAUUAGUUAAUUUAUAACAUAAAUAUGUCAUAUUUAAAUUAUUAAAUCACUUAAUAUUUUCUG
rnacentral:tRNA from 1 species